CCUGGGCCAGUGCUUGAGAAACAGUUUUGAUCGUCCCCAUGUACAGAAGAGAAAACAGCCUCAGAGAGGUUAAGAGACUUCCUCCGGAUCACACAGCUAUUGUGCACUAAUGGGACUUUGGAGGGUGGAAACAGGAGGCCCGGUGAAAUCCCCAGUGAGAGCAGCCUUUUCGCCGUGGCCUGGGGUGAAGCACUAUGGCAGCACCCACACCUGCCAGGACUGUAGAUGAAGAAACCAAGGCCCAGAGGGACUAACGCACUUGCUCGAGACCUACCCCAAGCCACACUGUUCUCUUAACGUCUAUUCUGCAGUUUGAUAUGUGACUGUUCACAGUGCAAAAGGUGAGCUUGGUCAAUACAAAGAUGUUCCCAGAA
rnacentral:lncRNA from 1 species